GAAAUGCGAUAAGUAAUGUGAAUUGCAGAAUUCCGUGAAUCAUCGAAUCUUUGAACGCACAUUGCGCCCUCCGGUAUUCCGGGGGGCAUGCCUGUCCGAGCGUCAUUGACACAAAUCAAGCGCGGCUUGUGUGUUGGGCCCUCGUCCCGCGUAGGGACGUGCCCGAAACGCAGUGGCGGCGUCGCGGUUAUCCGUAAAGCCCGAGUGUAUGGGGUUUCAUCACACGCUCAAGGCCCAGGACCGGCGCCCGUCGACCUUCUAUUGAGAUAUCAAGGUUGACCUCGGAUCAGGUAGGGAUACCCGCUGAACUUAA
rnacentral:misc_RNA from 1 species